rnacentral:hammerhead_ribozyme from 1 species
NNACUGUUGAGGAGUCCCACAAUAGGACGAAACGGCCGUUCAGUGC